AUUGAACGCUGGCGGCAGGCUUAACACAUGCAAGUCGAGCGAGCGGCGGACGGGUGAGUAAUGUCUGGGAAACUGCCUGAUGGAGGGGGAUAACUACUGGAAACGGUAGCUAAUACCGCAUACCAUCAGAUGUGCCCAGAUGGGAUUAGCUAGUAGGUGGGGUAAUGGCUCACCUAGGCGACGAUCCCUAGCUGGUCUGCGAGGAUGACCAGCCACACUGGAACGGAGACACGGGCCAGUCUCCUACGGGAGGCAGAAGUGGGUAAUAUUGCACAAUAGGCGCAAGCCUGAUGCAGCCAGGCCGCGGGUGGGAAGAAGGCCUUCGGGUUGUAAAGCAAUGUCAGCGAGGAGGCGUUACUCGCAGAAGAAGCACCGGCUAACUCCGUGCCAGCAGCCGCGGUAAUUC
rnacentral:rRNA from 1 species